rnacentral:lncRNA from 1 species
UUUGUCUUUGAGCAAUUCACUAUGCUGUUGAAUAUUAAUCCUCUCAAAAAAAUGUUUGAAGAAAUUUUCUUUUUAUUUAUGAAAUCUGAAAUGAGAAAAAUUUAACCCCCCCCCCCCCCCCCAUUUUUUUUUUUUUUUUCACAUCCCCCUUUCCCUUUUUCCAAAACUGAUCUCAAUUCAAAUUUCUAAUGGAGUUUGCAACAAUAACUACUCUUAAAUACAUCAUAAAAUAUUAAAAUGUAAAAUAAAG